UUACGGCCAUACCCCGUUGAAACAUCGUUUCUCGUACAAUCACUGAAAUUAAGCAAAAUCGAGCCUGGUCAAUACUUAGAUGAGUGACCGUAUGGGAAUGCCAAGUACUGCU